AUAUUAUAAUAUUAAAAGUUAUAUAUUUUAAAUUUCGCAUCCCAAUAUCUGUAGGUACAAGUAUUGAUAAAACAUUGAACCUGGCACCACUGACGCAGACGUUUAAUUUUUUGGUUGUCAACAAACGUGAAGCAGGAAGAAGAAGACGAAGCACGAAAAAAUCGGUGUGGUUGCGGUCCAGCAAAUUUGUGCGCUAUUUCGUCAGAUUCGCGCGGAACUUAGUUUUCAACACAGUCCGGGAGACGGAACUAAGUUUUGUUCAGCAGUCGCAAUGUUUGUGCGGCAGUUCUGUGAGCGUUCCGUUAGUUCCAGUCAGGAACUAGACCGAUCUUUGAAGCGGCUGGAUGAAGAUGUAAAACGCCCUGGAAGAAUUUCAGGCCGAGAUCUGGAAGAUGUUCUAGAGGAAAUGAGAAUUAACCGUUUCGCUUCCAGCGCUCAAUAUUAACUGGUUAUUCGUUGUUGCGGUAACCUAGUUCCAGAAGAGCUUCCCGAGGUGCGUAUAGCUCUGGUUCAGGAGAUAUGGAAAACGUAGAACAGCUUGAACGUAGCAAUGGACAUUUCCCACUACAACGCCCUUCUUCGGGUGUAUUUGGAUAAUGAGCACUCCUUCUCGCCAACGGAAUUUCUGGCGGAUCUGCAACCCAAGGGCGUUGAACCGAACCAGGUCACCUAUCAGCGAUUAAUUUCGCGCUACUGCCAAUAAGGAGCAACCAACAUCCUGGAAUUCCUGCGAGAGAAGCAGCUUCCAGUUAAUAAAUACGUUUUCA